GACAAACAGAUCGAAUUAAGAUUUUACUAGUAAAAAAGAGGUUAAAUAAAUAGAAUAUUUUAAGAGACUACUGGCUUUUUAUAGAAGUGGAAUUUGGAUAAAAAGAUUAAGACUAUUGGUUUCUUUUAGUUUGACGCCUCGAAAAUUUAGCAAAAAACCGGGAUUAGAUACCCCGUUAUUUAUUUAGUAAACUUUGAUAUUUUGAUUUACUUGAGUAGUACGAGUAGUUAAUUAGUUAGUUAUCUAUUAAUAUGAACUUAAAACUCAAAAGACUUGGCGGUGCCUUAAUUCUUUUCAGGGGAACUUGUCCCGUAAUCGAUGGUCCUCGAUUUAGCUUACUUUUCUUUGAAUUUUAUUUUAGUUUUAAAACAGUUUGUAUACCGUCGUCGUCAGAUUACCUUUGAGAGAGAUAAAAGUUGUCGGAAAAAAUUAAUGUAAUUGUUGGGAUGAGAGUAGUUGAAUUUUUGUUUGUUAGAAUUAUUUUGUGUUUUUGAUGUCAGAUCAAGGUGCAGCUUAUAGGAAAGUGGAGAUGAGUUACAAUAAAUAUUUAUUAGACGGAUUUUAAGUUGUAAUAUUUAAAUUGAAGGUGGACUUGAAAGUAAUAUUUUUAUAAAUGAAUUUUAAAUUAAUGUGUAAAUGUGAAGUAUAGUGCUAAGGUGCGU
rnacentral:rRNA from 1 species